AGUAAGUCAGCUAAAAAAGCUUUUAGGCCCAUACCCUAACUAUGAAGGUUAAAAUCCUUCACUUGCUA
rnacentral:tRNA from 1 species